GAAAUGGCAAACCGCCGGUAACAGCGGGACGCAAAACUACCGGUCCGAACGGCCAACCCAAGAAUGUUUUGGGAGCCAGCGGACAGCGGAGUUACCGA
rnacentral:ncRNA from 1 species